AGAGUUUGAGUUAUGGCUCAGGAUGAACGCUGGCGGCGUAGCUUAACACAUGCAAGUCGAACGGAGUCGCAUGAAACCUAGUCGAUUGUGACUUAGUGGCGGACGGGUGAGUAACGCGUGGGUAACCUGCCGUAUGGCAGGGGGACAACAGAGGGAAACUUCUGCUAAUACCGCAUAAGCGCACGGGAUCGCAUGAUCCAGUGUGAAAAGAUUUAUCGGCAUACGAUGGACCCGCGUCCGAUUAGCUAGUUGGUGAGGUAACGGCCCACCAAGGCGACGAUCGGUAGCCGGCCUGAGAGGGUGAACGGCCACAUUGGGACUGAGACACGACCCAAACUCCUACGGGAGGCAGGCAGUGGGGAAUAUUGCACAAUGGGGGAAACCCUGAUGCCAGCGACGCCGCGUGAGUGAUGAAGUAUUUCGGUACGUAAAGCUCUAUCAGCAGGAAAGAAAUGACGGUACCUGACUAAGAAGCCCCGGCUAACUACGUGCCAGCCGCCGC
rnacentral:rRNA from 1 species